rnacentral:rRNA from 1 species
CCAGACUCCUACGGGAGGCAGCAGUGAGGAAUAUUGGUCAAUGGGCGGGAGCCUGAACCAGCCAUGCCGCGUGAAGGCGAGUGCCCUACGGGCGUUAAACUUCUUUUGUGCGGGAGCAAUAAGGGCCACGCGUGGCCCGAUGAGAGUACCGCACGAAUAAGCAUCGGCUAACUCCGUGCCAGCAGCCGCGGUAAUACGGGGGAUGCGAGCGUUAUCCGGAUUUAUUGGGUUUAAAGGGUGCGUAGGCGGGCUUUUAAGUCAGCGGUAAAAAUUCGGGGCUCAACCCCGUCCGGCCGUUGAAACUGGGGGCCUUGAGUGGGCGAGAAGAAGGCGGAAUGCGUGGUGUAGCGGUGAAAUGCAUAGAUAUCACGCAGAACCCCGAUUGCGAAGGCAGCCUUCCGGCGCCCUACUGACGCUGAGGCACGAAAGUGCGGGGAUCGAACAGGAUUAGAUACCCCAGUA